GCCACAGGGCUCCGCCCCCUCCCGCCUGCAGCGAGCCCGCGCGCUCGCUUCCCCUCCCCCUCCCCUGCGAUCCCCCGCGCAUCCUCUCCCUACCCUGCGCGCAACGCCGCCGCCCGCCGCCAGCGCGCUCGCUCCCCCGCCGCCCCCCGCCCCCGCCCCCCCCAGUCCGCGAGCUGCCAGCGCGCGCCCGCCGGUCCCGGAAGUCCCCUUCUCCACGCCGCCCUCCUCCUCCCUCUCCGGCACCUGCGCCGCCGGCCCCUGGGUCACAUGCGCAGUCUGUAGCCACCACUGCGGCGCCUGAGACCCGCGAACCCAGCCUGCUCGCCCCCAGACUCCUUUCCCAGGGCUGGCCGGCAACCUGAGCGAACAGACCCCGUGGCCUUAACUCGGUGUGCCAGCGAGUCCUUGCUCUGCUAACUUGUGAAGUUCAAGUUGCCUCUAGUCCUAGCGGCCCUACAGUGGCCCUCCUUAGGAUAAUACACCCUAUGGUACUGACCAGAACAAAUUCACAGUAACUUUAAGAAACGACAGGGGAACCAACCCCCCAGAGGUGGACGAAAUCCCCAAGCCUGAGAAAUGAGAAAGGGUGUGAUUACUGUGGUUACUACUAAUUCAGCAAUAAAACCGCAAACAGACAACAACCACAGAACCAUACCAUUAAAUUCCAGGGCCUGGCACACUCUAGUGCCACUUGCGAGUCAUUCAGGUCACUCCUGUGUAAAACAUGCUGAGAAACUCACACUAAAGCAAAGUGGGUAAUUUUAAUAGGUAAGUAUUCCACCACCGAAUUGAAAACCUUCGUCCAACGUGGAGAAAGAAAAAAGCUGGAGGCAACAUGCUACCUGACUUCAAACUAUACUGCAGGGCUACAGUAACCAAAACAGCAUGCUACUGCUACAAGAACAGAUCCAUAGGCCAACAGAACAGAAUAGAGAAUCCAGAAAUAAGACCACACACCUAUGAUCAUUUGAUCUUUGACAAACCUGACAAAAACAAGCAAUGGGGGAAAGGAUUCCCUAUUUAAUAAAUGUUGCUGGGAGAACUGGCUGGAAUAUGCAGAAAAUUAAAACUGGACCCCUUCCUUACACCAUACACAAAAAUCAACUCAAGAUGGAUUAAAGACUGAGAUGUAAAACCCAAGACUAUGAAAACCCUAGAAGAAAACCUAGGCAAUACCAUUCAGGACAUAGGCAUGGUAAAGAUUUCAUGACGAAGACACCAAAAGCAAUUGCAACAAAAACAAAAAUUGACAAAUGGGAUCUAAUUAAACUAAAGAGCUCUGCACACAAAAGAAACUAUCAACAGAGUAAACAGACAACCUGCAGAAUGGGAAAAAAUUUUUGCAAUCCAUGCAUCUGACAAGGUCCAAUAUCCAACACCUAUAAACAAAUUUACAAGAAAUAAACAAUCCCAUUAAAAAGUAGGCAAAGAACAUGCCCAGACACUUCUCAAAACAAAUCAUACAUGCAGCCAACAAGCAUAUGAAAAAAACUCAAUAUCACUGAUCCUUAGAGAAAUGCAAAUCAAAACCACAAUGAGAUAGCAUCCCACAUCAGUCAGAAUGGCUAUUAUUAAAAUGUCAAAAAAAAAACAACAGAUGCUGGCAAGGUUGUGGAGAAAAAGGAACACUUUUACACUAUUGGUGGGAGUGUAAAUUAGUUCAACCAUUGUGGAAGAUAGUGUGGUGAUUCCCCAGAAACCUAGAGGCAGAAAUACUAUUCAAGCCCACAAUCCCAUUACUGGGUAUAUAUUCAAAGGAAUAUAAAUUGUUCUAUUAUUAAUAAAAAGACAUAUGCACGUGUAUGUUCAUUGCAGCACUAUUCACAAUAGCAAAGACAUGGAAUCAACCUAACUGUCCAUCAAUGAUAGACUGGAUAAAGAAAAUGUGGUACAUAUACACCGUGGAAUACUAUGAAGCCAUAAAAAGGAACAAGAUCAUGUCCUUUGCAGGGACAUGGAUGGAGCUGGAGGCCAUUAUCCUUAGUAAACUAACACAGGGACAGAAAACCAAAUACUGCAUGUUCUCACUUAUAAGUGGGAGCUAAAUGAUGAGAACACAUACACACAUGGAGGGGGAAGAACAAACACUGGAGCCUGUUGGAGGUUGGAGGAUGGGAGGAGGGAGACAAUCAGGAAGAAGAGCUAAUGGAUACUGGGCUUAAUACCUGGGUGAUGGGAUGAUCUGUGCAGCAAACCAUCAUCUAAAGUUGAUGACUGUAGUGAACAAAACAAUAAGCCUUCCAAAAAUGUCUAUCUCUUAAUCCCUGAACCUGCAAAUGCUACCUUACAUAGCAAAAUGCACUUUACAAAUGUGACUAAAUCAAGGAUCCUGAGAUGGAGAGAUUAUCCUGGAUUAUCCACGCAGGUCCAAUGUAAUCAUAAGGGUGUUACAAUGGAAAGAGGGAGGUAGGAAAGUCACAGAGAAGGAAAUGUGACAAUGAAGUGAUGCAACUGCUGGCUGCCAAGAAAUGAGGGAAGUCUCUAGAAGAACCCCUUCCCCAUUAAAAAAAAAAAAAAAAAGGCAUCCAGGAGGAAUAUAUCUCUGCUGACACCUUGAUUUUAUCCUUAAAAAACUCAUUUUGGACUUCUGACCUCCAGAACUGUAAGAUAAUAAAUUGUUUUGUUUUAAA